rnacentral:ribozyme from 1 species
CAUGCAAAAAAAAAAAAAAAGAGUGCCGUUUCUGUGUGAAGAAUAUUGAAACGACAUCCAAACGAGGGCAUCAGAGGGCGUUGCAUAUGGAUGUGUGGUCUGAGUGUAUUUCCCCCUUUUUUGCUUUUUUUUUGUUUCCGUCGUGAUGAUGCUGAUUG